GUCAGGAUGGCCGAGUGGUCUAAGGCGCCAGACUCAAGUUCUGGUCCACUAACGUGGGCGUGGUUUCAAAUCCCACUUCUGACA